rnacentral:rRNA from 1 species
UACGUAGGGGGCAAGCGUUGUCCGGAUUUAUUGGGCGUAAAGAGCGUGUAGGCGGCCGUGUAGGUCUGACGUGAAAUCUGGAGGCUCAACCUCCAGCUGUCGUUGGAAACCGCUCGGCUAGAGUCCGGAAGAGGAGAGUGGAAUUCCGUGGUGUAGCGGUGAAAUGCGCAGAUAUCAGGAAGAACACCUAUGGCGAAGGCAGCUCUCUGGGACGGUACUGACGCUGAGACGCGAAAGCGUGGGGAGCGAACAGG